rnacentral:lncRNA from 1 species
CAAAACAAACUUUAGUCCCACAGCCUGCUGUUUGAGCCACUAUAAGCCACCAGCGGACUAGAGGCAGAGAGCGGCAGGCGCGGUGGCAGCAGCAGCAGCCACGGCGAUGGAAACCACAGCAGCAGCAGCGGCGGCGGCGGAGGCAGCAGCAGCAGCGGCGGCGCGGCCCACUUCAGGUCUCCAUGGCAACAGAGCGUGAACGUGUUCGGCUCGUGGAGCAGGCCGGAGUGUGUCGAGGAGCUGCACCAGCAGGCGCAGCUCAACCUCCAGAGCCUGCUGCAAGAGUUUGAGGAGCAGUUGUACGACACCAAGCUGACCGGUCAGACUUUCCGGCAUCCGUCCUCACAGAGCUCCGACGACACGUCCACCUCCCUCAGCCGAUCGCCCAUCUCC